AAGGCUAGGCUAGCCGGGCGACGGUUGUCCCGGUUUAAGCGUGUAGGGGGUGUGACCUGGUAAAUCCGGUUGCAUAUUAACCCUGAGGCGUGAUGACGAUGCACUACGGUGCAGAAGUAGUUGAUGCCCUGCUUCCAGGAAAAUCCUCUAAGCUCCAGGUAACAUUAAAUCGUACCCCAAACCGACACAGGUGGUCAGGUAGAGAAUACCAAGGCGCUUGAGAGAACUCGGGUGAAGGAACUAGGCAAAAUGGUGCCGUAACUUCGGGAGAAGGCACGCUGGCAUGUAGGUGAAGUCCUUCGCGGAUGGAGCUGAAGCCAGUCGAAGAUACCAGCUGGCUGCAACUGUUUAAUAAAAACACAGCACUGUGCAAACACGAAAGUGGACGUAUACGGUGUGACGCCUGCCCGGUGCUGGAAGGUUAAUUGAUGGGGUCAGCCGCAAGGCGAAGCUCUUGAUCGAAGCCCCAGUAAACGGCGGCCGUAACUAUAACGGUCCUAAGGUAGCGAAAUU
rnacentral:rRNA from 1 species